rnacentral:tRNA from 1 species
GCCAACGUAGCUCAACGGUAGAGCACUGGUUUUGUAAACCAGCGGUUGAGGGUUCAAAUCCCUCCGUUGGCU